CGUGCAGGACGCGCUUAUUAGAGAGUUUUGAAAAGAUCAGCGGCGUCGGUCUACCGCUAGAGACCCUUGUCACGGAAUUGAGAAUCUCAGUAGCAAACAAUCUCAACGUGAUAUAUGUAUUAUAUUUUAGAGUUCAAAACAAUUGUUUGGUAAUGUGUGGGUUUUUUUUUAAAACAACACAACUAGGAACACAUUGGGACGUUUACAGGGGUCCACAAGCGGCUGAACCAAUGUUUUCAAUGGAGGCAUCUGAUGGCGUACUCCAGAGACAAACUAAGAUAACAGUCACAUCAUAACAUUUCCUGCUCGUUCCCCAUCCAUAAUGGAAGCACACUUACUGCAGAGGAAGCAGGACUUGUGGAAGCUCUUCCCCUCACACUGAACUUCCUCGGCGAAGUACACCGUCUUCUGGCAGCACCCACACUUGUUUCCUCCCCCAAACGGCAUCCUGUGGAGACAAGGGCCGAAACUGCCAAUCACCAAGCUCCAAUCGCCAAGGGCCAAUCACCAAGCUCCAGUCACCAAGCUCCAAUUACAAAGCGCCAAUCACCAAGCUCCAAUCACAGAGCACCAGAAUAAGGAAACUGCCCUCCCGCUUUGGUCUGGCGUGAUGACUCGCUGUCCUUAAAGGCCUUGCGCAGAUACUGCUGAGCCCUGUGGAAAACUGCUAUAAAAGGGAAGGUAUUUUCAUCUCCCCGCACGAAAGAAUGAAUCAAACGUUGUAUUCUGCAGUCUGGGACUCCUCACAGCGGCAAUAAAGCUGCAUUUUUAUCAUUUGA